GUGUCAGCAGCCGCGGUAAUACGGAGGGUGCAAGCGUUAUCCGGAUUUACUGGGUUUAAAGGGUGCGCAGGCGGAUAUGUAAGUCAGUGGUGAAAUCUCUAGGCUUAACCUGGAAAUUGCCGUUGAUACUAUAUAUCUUGAAUGCUGUGGAGGUAAGCGGAAUAUGUCAUGUAGCGGUGAAAUGCUUAGAUAUGACAUAGAACACCUAUUGCGAAGGCAGCUUACUACGCAGAUAUUGACGCUCAUGCACGAAAGCGUGGGGAUCAAACAGGAUUAGAAACCCUCGUAGUCC
rnacentral:rRNA from 1 species